rnacentral:rRNA from 1 species
UGAACGCUGACGGCGUGCCUAACACAUGCAAGUCGAGCGAGAAAGCCCUUUCGGGGGUGAGUACAGCGGCGGACGGGUGAGUACAGCGUAAGAAUUUACCCUUCAGUGAGGAAUACCCUCGAGAAAUUGAGGUUAAUACCGCAUACGUCUUGCGAGAGAAAGGUGCCGGUUUUCCGGUGCCGCUGAAGGAUAAGCUUGCGUGCUAUUAGCUUGUUGGUGGGGUAAAGGCCUACCAAGGCGAUGAUGGCUAGCCGGCCUGAGAGGGUGUACGGCCACACUGGAACUUAGACACGGUCCAGACUCCUACGGGAGGCAGCAGUGGGGAAUAUUGCGCAAUGGGCGAAAGCCUGACGCAGCGACGUCGUGUGGAGGAUGACGGUCUUCGGAUUGUAAACUCCUGUUAAGUGGGAAGAAAGUCCCGUUCUUAAUAAGGAUGGGUUAUGACGGUACCAUUAGAGAAAGCACCGGCUAACUUC